rnacentral:rRNA from 1 species
UACGUAGGGGGGCUAGCGUUGUCCGGAAUCAUUGGGCGUAAAGAGCGUGUAGGCGGCCCGGUAAGUCCGCUGUGAAAGUCGGGGGCUCAACCCUCGAAUGCCGGUGGAUACUGUCGGGCUAGAGUGCGGAAGAGGCGAGUGGAAUUCCUGGUGUAGCGGUGAAAUGCGCAGAUAUCAGGAGGAACACCAAUUGCGAAGGCAGCUCGCUGGGACGUAACUGACGCUGAGACGCGAAAAGCGUGGGGGAGCAAACAGG